rnacentral:rRNA from 1 species
CCUACGGGAGGCAGCAGUGAGGAAUAUUGGUCAAUGGACGAGAGUCUGAACCAGCCAAGUAGCGUGAAGGAUGACUGCCCUAUGGGUUGUAAACUUCUUUUAUAAAGGAAUAAAACGAGGCACGUGUGCCUUUUUGCAUGUACUUUAUGAAUAAGGAUCGGCUAACUCCGUGCCAGCAGCCGCGGUAAUACGGAGGAUCCGAGCGUUAUCCGGAUUUAUUGGGUUUAAAGGGAGCGUAGAUGGGUUGUUAAGUCAGUUGUGAAAGUUUGCGGCUCAACCGUAAAAUUGCAAUUGAUACUGGCAGUCGUGAGUACAGUUGAGGUAGGCGGAAUUCGUGGUGUAGCGGUGAAAUGCUUAGAUAUCACGAAGAACCCCGAUUGCGAAGGCAGCUUACUAAACUGUGACUGACAUUGAUGCUCGAAAGUGUGGGUAUCAAACAGGAUUAGAUCCCCUGUAGUC